UCCUUCCUUUUCUUUCUUUUUUUUCCCCUUUUCUUCUUCUUUCCUUCCUUCUUUUUUUUCUCUCUUUCUAUUUUGUUCUUUUUUUCUAUUUCUUGUUUCUUUCCCUGCGUGGAAGAGUUCCAGAGUUCCAAACCCAUCCUGGUUCUUUGUCUUACAAGAAUGAAACAGGACAGCCAGGGUGCUUGGAGCAGCUUCCCAUCCCCUUCUUGCACUCGGAGCACCUCCACAUAACGCGCGGCGUCACUGGAAAUGGAGGAAGCGAAGUGCUUCCCCCAGCAUUUAUUUGAGAAUGAAGAAUUUACAUCGAGACAGAGCUAACAAAGAGCUCUGGAGAGAGAAGGAAAAGACAAAGCAAAAGGAUAGAAAAGAAUAACAAUCAGUUACAAUGAACACUUGUUGGGAACUACUUCACUGAGACCCCAGAUGCAAGCCGGGAGGAUCAGGUAGGCUGAUUUGGCAACGGAGGGCGAAGAAGAUUGAGUGUCAUGGUGGCUAUCAUUUGCGUUUGCGAAGGAUGAGUGGAAGAUGAUGUUUAUCAGCUUUUCCCAUAAAAAGAGACUAAUGUACAAGUGACCAACCUAUUGUAUUGCCAGCUAUGGAGAAUGGAAAUAGAUACGAAAUAAUAACAUGACAAACAUGGCCAUGCCAA